AGCGAGCGCUGGCGGCAGGCUUAACACAUGCAAGUCGAGCGGGCGUAGCAAUACGUCAGCGGCAGACGGGUGAGUAACGCGUGGGAACGUACCUUUUGGUUCGGAACAACACAGGGAAACUUGUGCUAAUACCGGAUAAGCCCUUACGGGGAAAGAUUUAUCGCCGAAAGAUCGGCCCGCGUCUGAUUAGCUAGUUGGUAGGGUAAUGGCCUACCAAGGCGACGAUCAGUAGCUGGUCUGAGAGGAUGAUCAGCCACAUUGGAACUGAGACACGGCCCAAACUCCUACGGGAGGCAGCAGUGGGGAAUAUUGGACAAUGGGGGCAACCCUGAUCCAGCCAUGCCGCGUGAGUGACGAAGGCCCUAGGGUUGUAAAGCUCUUUUGUGCGGGAAGAUAAUGACGGUACCGCAAGAAUAAGCCCCGGCUAACUUCGUGCCAGCAGCCGCAGUAA
rnacentral:rRNA from 1 species